rnacentral:rRNA from 1 species
GGGUCAGUAGGUUGGUCGUGCCACCGGUACGUACUGGUCUCACUGAUUCCUCCUUCCUGAAGAACCGUAAGGCCAUUAAUUUGGUGUUGCGGGGAAACAGGAGUGUUACUUUGAAAAAAUUAGAGUGUUUAAAGCAAGCUAACGCUUGAAUACAUUAGCAUGGAAUAAUGAAAUAGGACGAUCGAUCCUAUUUUGUUUGUUUCUAGGAUUGACGUA